AUUGAACGCUGGCGGCAGGCCUAACACAUGCAAGUCGAACGAGUGGCGGACGGGUGAGUAAUGUCUGGGAAACUGCCUGAUGUAGGGGGAUAACUACUGGAAACGGUAGCUAAUACCGCAUACCAUCGGAUGUGCCCAGAUGGGAUUAGCUUGUGGGUGGGGUAACGGUUCACCAAGGCGACGAUCGCUAGCUGGUCUUAGCGGAUGACCAGCCAAACUGGAACGUAGAACAGGUCCAGACGACUACGGGAGGCAGCAGUGGGGAAUAUUGCACAAUGGGCGCAAGCCUGGUGCAGCCAUGCCGGGUGUAUUAAGAAGGCCUUCGGGUUGUAAAGUACUUUCAGCGGGGAGGCGUUACCCGCAGAAGAAGCACCGGCUAACUCCGUGCCAGCAGCCGCGGUAAUAC
rnacentral:rRNA from 1 species